CAGUGGGGAAUAUUGCACAAUGGGCGCAAGCCUGAUGCAGCCAUGCCGCGUGUAUGAAGAAGGCCUUCGGGUUGUAAAGUACUUUCAGCGGGGAGGAAGGGGUUAAGGUUAAUAACCUUAGCCAUUGACGUUACCCGCAGAAGAAGCACCGGCUAACUCCGUGCCAGCAGCCGCGGUAAUACGGAGGGUGCAAGCGUUAAUCGGAAUUACUGGGCGUAAAGCGCACGCAGGCGGUCUGUCAAGUCGGAUGUGAAAUCCCCGGGCUCAACCUGGGAACUGCAUUCGAAACUGGCAGGCUUGAGUCUCGUAGAGGGGGGUAGAAUUCCAGGUGUAGCGGUGAAAUGCGUAGAGAUCUGGAGGAAUACCGGUGGCGAAGGCGGCCCCCUGGACGAAGACUGACGCUCAGGUGCGAAAGCGUGGGGAGCAAACAGGAUUAGAUACCCUGGUAGUCCACGCCGUAAACGAUGUCUAUUUGGAGGUUGUGCCCUUGAGGCGUGGCUUCCGGAGCUAACGCGUUAAAUAGACCGCCUGGGGAGUACGGCCGCAAGGUUAAAACUCAAAUGAAUUGACGGGGGCCCGCACAAGCGGUGGAGCAUGUGGUUUAAUUCGAUGCAACGCGAAGAACCCUUACCUGGUCUUGACAUCCACAGAACUUGGCAGAGAUGCCUUGGUGCCUUUCGGGAACUGUGAGACAGGUGCUGCAUGGCUGUCGUCAGCUCGUGUUGUGAAAUGUUGGGUUAAGUCCCGCAACGAGCGCAACCCUUAUCCUUUGUUGCCAGCGGUCCGGCCGGGAACUCAAAGGAGACUGCCAGUGAU
rnacentral:rRNA from 1 species